rnacentral:rRNA from 1 species
GUCUGGUGCCAGCAGCCGCGGUAAUUCCAGCUCCAAUAGCGUACGUUAAAGUUGCUGCAGUUAAAAAGCUCGUAGUUGAACGUUCGGGUUCCGCGGGACGGGGCCGCCCCGCGAGGGACGGCGCCGCCCCGGGGCUCGUGAUAUCUCAUCUCGCCGCCCGUCGCGAGGCGGACGGAGGGAUGGAUGAGGUUACCUGGAAAAAAUCGGGGCGAUCUAGGCGGGCGAACCUCGCCAACGAACGAUCGGACAUGGGAUAACGGAAGAGGGCGUCGGCUCGACUUCGUCGGUUCCUCGGGGCCGAGGCACGUACGGUGAAUAGGGACGGUCGGGGCCGCCCGUACCGGGUCGUGAGAGGUGAAAUUCUAGGAUCGACCCGAGACGAACCGCCGCGAAAGCAUUCGGCAAGGACGCUUUCAUUAAUCAAGAACGAAAGUCGGGGAUCGAAGACGAUCAGAUACCGUCGUAGUCCCGACCGUAAACGAUGCCGACCGAGGGCCCGGAGGAGUUACGUACGACCCUCCGGGCCCUCCCGCGAGAAAUCAGGAGUAUUCGGGUUCCGGGG